rnacentral:misc_RNA from 1 species
AACCUAGCACACCUGCGGUGUGUACCUGCGGAGGGAUCAUUAUAGAGUUUUUAUAACUCCCAACCCUUUGUGAAUCUUAUAUCUUUUAUUCUGCUUCGACAGGUGGCCCCAGGGCGGGGCCAGCGCCUGUUUAACAGGCACCUGUCAGAGGUAGGACCAGACUCUGUUUCUGAAGCAAGUAUCUGAGUGGUUUAUAAAAAUAAGUCAAAACUUUCAGCAAUGGAUCUCAGAUCGGAAGAG